CGUUUUUAAAUAUCUUUUCUUAGUAUAUAAAAUGAAACGACACUUACGAAAUCAAUCGAUUCCGCAAAAGAAACUUUACCAAAAUGACAUAAAACUAUAGACGGAACUCUAUCAAAACAAGUUUCCUAAAAAUCAUUGCGAUCUUUCGUUCAAAUCUGUCGGAACUUUGUAGCGGGCUGUCGAGUCACGCGCUCCGCUGCCCCCAUAACUAAUACGUAUUUUUAUUUUCGUGUGAACUAUUUUAAAGUUUGUGUAUUAAUGUAUUUAUAUGCGAACAUUUUUAAAUAAGAAGACAUCACACCGAGGAACCAGUGACCUGUGACAUUUAAACAUCACUAUGACUUCACCGGCAAUCAGCAAAUCACCUGAAAAACAAAAAUCAGACAGCAAGUCUCCAGCUCACUCGACAACAAACACCGAGCCGCCACCUUCACAUGCUGAUGGCCCCUCGACAUCGUCUGCUCCGCCGUCUGAUCCGUUCAGCUGGUGUAGGAUCUUCAAGCUUGCUGAUCUUAUGAUGAAACAAGGAUGUUAGAAGAUUCGAGAUGAACUGCUCCUUUAUGAAAUGGAAUUUAGAAAAUAAAUAAGUAUUAACAUUUAAAAUCCAUGUAAAGUUAAUAGCUUUUUAACAGUUUUAUUAAUUGGAAACAAUAAGUUAACUAAACCAAUAACUUCGGUUGGAUAAACUGAUUGAUUUAAAUUCUUUAUCAAUGUCAAUAUAUAAAUUAUAUUUUGAAUAUUUUUCUGAUUUAUAAUAUAGGUAAGAACUUUACUUGUUAAAUAUAUAUAGUUGUUAGGUACAGAUGACGUAGAUACCUUAGGUAUAUAAAUACAUACCUAUAAAUAAUUCCAUGAAUAGAAAGGCAAUAAACUAGAUGUUCUAGAGAAUAGAUUUAGUUGAGACAAACAUUAAUUAUACAAAGCGAUUUGUCUCCAAGUUUCUCAUUAAAUAUCAGAAUACGAAUUAGAAUAGAAUGAAUAGGAAAACAUAUGUUCGUUAUUAAUGACAAUAUGAUAGCAAUUAAAAUAUAAUGCAGAAAGCAUUUAUUUCUCUACGUUUGAAAUAAAGUUAUUGUAGCACUAGUCACGUGAUAGAGAAGUUAUAAACUAGGCGUAAUAAUUAGUACCAUAAUGUUAUAUUUACUAACUACUUCGAUGACAAAAAUAUAAAGGUUUCCUCAAAUAAAACAACGUUUAUUCCACAUCGAUUUUCCCUAUCUCCUAAUUCCGUCAACGUUCAGGUAUGGUCCUACCUUCGUGAUAGUUAUGUUAUCAAAACACAUGUGUUAUAUAAAUAUAAAUGAAAUAACUGUCCAAAGAAAAUAUAUUAUUUAUGUGAAAAUUUAAAUUUCGAAUAUAUUGUAUUGUUAUCAA